CUGCUUCUACUUUCUGUAUGGAGCUGGGAGCGUCUGCCUGUUGGACGCCCGAAGAGCGUCAGGUUUGAUCCUUGGUAUGCAGAUGAACAUGACGAAUUACGGCGCCCCAUGUGGGCUUACAAGUGGGAUAUCGUUUCCGAGAUGACGAACGAUGUCAAUCUCAUGUACCAAAAGUACAUUGCCGAGUUGGACACGAUUACGCCUGAGCAGGUAAGGAGGUCAUUACUUUAG
rnacentral:rRNA from 1 species